AAGCAUAUCAAUAAGCGGAGGAAAAGAAACCAACAGGGAUUGCCCUAGUAACGGCGAGUGAAGCGGCAACAGCUCAAAUUUGAAAUCUGGCGUCUUUGGCGUCCGAGUUGUAAUUUGCAGAGGGCGCUUUGGCAUUGGCAGCGGUCCAAGUUCCUUGGAACAGGACGUCACAGAGGGUGAGAAUCCCGUACGUGGUCGCUAGCCUUUACCGUGUAAAGCCCCUUCGACGAGUCGAGUUGUUUGGGAAUGCAGCUCUAAAUGGGAGGUAAAUUUCUUCUAAAGCUAAAUACUGGCCAGAGACCGAUAGCGCACAAGUAGAGUGAUCGAAAGAUGAAAAGCACUUUGGAAAGAGAGUUAAAAAGCACGUGAAAUUGUUGAAAGGGAAGCGCUUGCAGCCAGACUUGCCUGUAGUUGCUCAUCCGGGUUUCUACCCGGUGCACUCUUCUAUAGGCAGGCCAGCAUCAGUUUGGGCGGUUGGAUAAAGGUCUCUGUCAUGUACCUCCUUUCGGGGAGAACUUAUAGGGGAGACGACAUGCAACCAGCCUGGACUGAGGUCCGCGCAUCUGCUAGGAUGCUGGCGUAAUGGCUGUAAGCGGCCCGU
rnacentral:rRNA from 1 species